AUGGCUCACGAUGAACGCUAGCGACAGGCCUAACACAUGCAAGUCGAGGGGCAUCGGGGCGAGGAGCAAUCCUUGCCGCCGGCGACCGGCGCACGGGUGAGUAACGCGUAUGCGACCUGCCCGUUGCAGGGGGAUAAUCGGGAGAAAUCCCGUCUAAUACCGCGUAAUGCCGCGGGGCUGCAUGGCCCUGCGGCCAAAGGGAGCGAUUCCGGCAACGGAUGGGCAUGCGUGACAUUAGCUAGUUGGCGGGGCAACGGCCCACCAAGGCGACGAUGUCUAGGGGUUCUGAGAGGAAGGUCCCCCACACUGGUACUGAGACACGGACCAGACUCCUACGGGAGGCAGCAGUGAGGAAUAUUGGUCAAUGGGCGCGAGCCUGAACCAGCCAAGUCGCGUGAGGGAUGACGGCCCUACGGGUUGUAAACCUCUUUUGUCGGGGAGCAAAUUCCGCCACGUGUGGCGGAGUCGAGAGUACCCGAAGAAAAAGCAUCGGCUAACUCCGUGCCAGCAGCCGCGGUAAUACGGAGGAUGCGAGCGUUAUCCGGAUUUAUUGGGUUUAAAGGGUGCGUAGGCGGACUGUCAAGUCAGCGGUAAAAUACGGGGGCUCAACCUCCGCCCGCCGUUGAAACUGACGGUCUUGAGUGGGCGAGAAGUAUGCGGAAUGCGUGGUGUAGCGGUGAAAUGCAUAGAUAUCACGCAGAACUCCGAUUGCGAAGGCAGCAUACCGGCGCCCGACUGACGCUGAAGCACGAAAGCGUGGGUAUCGAACAGGAUUAGAUACCCUGGUAGUCCACGCAGUAAACGAUGAAUACUAGCUGUCCGGGGCGAAUGAGCCCUGGGUGGCACAGCGAAAGCGUUAAGUAUUCCACCUGGGGAGUACGCCGGCAACGGUGAAACUCAAAGGAAUUGACGGGGGCCCGCACAAGCGGAGGAACAUGUGGUUUAAUUCGAUGAUACGCGAGGAACCUUACCCGGGCUCAAACGACACAGGAACGUACCUGAAAGGGUUCGGCUCUACGGAGCCUGUGUCGAGGUGCUGCAUGGUUGUCGUCAGCUCGUGCCGUGAGGUGUCGGCUUAAGUGCCAUAACGAGCGCAACCCCCAUCGACAGUUGCUAACAGGUCAGGCUGAGGACUCUGUCGAGACUGCCGGCGCAAGCUGCGAGGAAGGCGGGGAUGACGUCAAAUCAGCACGGCCCUUACGUCCGGGGCGACACACGUGUUACAAUGGCAGGUACAGCGGGAAGCCACCUGGCGACAGGGAGCGGAACCCGAAAGCCUGUCUCAGUUCGGAUUGGAGUCUGCAACCCGACUCCAUGAAGCUGGAUUCGCUAGUAAUCGCGCAUCAGCCACGGCGCGGUGAAUACGUUCCCGGGCCUUGUACACACCGCCCGUCAAGCCAUGGAAGCCGGGGGUGCCUGAAGUGCGCUGCCGCGAGGAGCGCCCUAGGGUAAAACCGGUGACUGGGGCUAAGUCGUAACAAGGUA
rnacentral:rRNA from 1 species